UAGGUGGGCAGCAUAGGCCGAGCGUGGGAUCUCCCGCCGCUGUGCGAGCCGCCGCCAUGAUGCCGGGAUAACCCCCACCGGCCUGGGGGGGGAGUGGGGCCGUGCCCCCAGCCGGGAUAUCACCCCACGACCAGAGGCUUUGUUCAUUCGGCUUUUCCUGUUCCCGCAGAGUGCCUCUCCGCGGUGUCUGGCUGCCAAGCACUGAAGGCUGCACACCACGGGUGCAU